rnacentral:rRNA from 1 species
GAUGAACGCUGGCGGCGUGCCUAAUACAUGCAAGUCGAGCGAACAGACGAGGAGCUUGCUCCUCUGACGUUAGCGGCGGACGGGUGAGUAACACGUGGAUAACCUACCUAUAAGACUGGGAUAACUUCGGGAAACCGGAGCUAAUACCGGAUAAUAUAUUGAACCGCAUGGUUCAAUAGUGAAAGACGGUUUUGCUGUCACUUAUAGCUGGAUCCGCGCCGCAUUAGCUAGUUGGUAAGGUAACGGCUUACCAAGGCAACGAUGCGUAGCCGACCUGAGAGGGUGAUCGGCCACACUGGAACUGAGACACGGUCCAGACUCCUACGGGAGGCAGCAGUAGGGAAUCUUCCGCAAAGGGCGAAAGCCUGACGGAGCAACGCCGCGUGAGUGAUGAAGGUCUUCGGAUCGUAAAGCUCUGUUAUUAGGGAAGAACAAAUGUGUAAGUAACUAUGCACGUCUUGACGGUACCUAAUCAGAAAGCCACGGCUAACUACGUG